CGUCGUCGUUCGGAAGAUGAGGAGUUCCAAUUUGUCGACGCGAGACUCUCGCCGCGGAGGUUCGCGAGUUUCGAAGAAAUCCGGCGAACGGGAAUCAUCUGUGGGAAAAGUAAUCGCCCUCCACGCUUUUGGAUAGGGGAUCAAGUGGACGCCUACCCGUUGUAAAAUAUCAGCUUCAUUCCCGCCAGGACUUCGGAGGACGCCUCCUUGGCUGCGACGUAUGAAAAAAAAAAUGGAAAGAAUUUCAAAAUUAUCAUUGUUCCUAAAUUCAUAAGUUCGUUGAUCUUUUCUUGAUUUUUUUUUUUUUUUAUACCUGUAGCGGUUCGAACGAAUGAUCAAUCAAAUUAUUAUUAUUAUUAUUAUUAUUAUUAUUAUUAUUAUACCAAUUACAAUAUUAAAUCUGUAACGAUUAUAAUGUAAUGCAAUGUAAAGAUCGAAAGGAGCUUUUAUUGACUCUGCGAUCUAGAAAGGAAUGAACAAAUAAAUGACGAUUAAACGA